rnacentral:rRNA from 1 species
AGAACGAACGCUGGCGGCAGGCCUAACACAUGCAAGUCGAACGCCCCUUCACUAAGUUUACAAAAUAGUGAUUUUUACUAAAUGGUGAAUUUAGUGAAGGGGAGUGGCAGACGGGUGAGUAACACGUGGGAACCUUCCUAUUAGUAUGGAAUAGACCAGGGAAACUUGGAUUAAUACCGUAUACGCCCUUACGGGGAAAGAUUUAUCGCCGAAAGAUUGGCCCGCGUCUGAUUAGCUAGUUGGUGAGGUAACGGCUCACCAAGGCUUCGAUCAGUAGCUGGUUUGAGAGAACGACCAGCCACAUUGGGACUGAGACACGGCCCAAACUCCUACGGGAGGCAGCAGUGGGGAAUCUUGGACAAUGGGGGAAACCCUGAUCCAGCGAUGCCGCGUGAGUGAUGAAGGCCUUCGGGUUGUAAAACUCUUUCGACGGGGACGAUAAUGGCGGUACCCGUAGAAGAGCUCCGGCUAACUUCGUGCCAGCAGCCGC